rnacentral:lncRNA from 1 species
AAACACAUGCAGACAAAUGAAGACAACACAUUUUGUAGCAUCCAGGUAGCUGUCGAAACGGCCGUCCAUCGGCGGUAAGGAAAGGCUGAAGGCAAAGGAACAGUACCUGAAUGGGCAGCAGCCCACGCUCCAGACUUCCUGUCCUCACCUGCUGGUCCUGGCGGCUACACCUCAAUGUUCACUGUGUCCAGAAGGCUGAAGAGAUGUGGGCAUGCUGUGAGAGAAGACUGACAAGGCCAUCACAGUGACAGAAC